rnacentral:rRNA from 1 species
UACGGAGGGGGCUAGCGUUGUUCGGAAUUACUGGGCGUAAAGCGCACGUAGGCGGCUUUGUAAGUUAGAGGUGAAAGCCCAGGGCUUAACCCUGGAAUUGCCUUUAAGACUGCAUCGCUAGAAUUGUGGAGAGGUAAGUGGAAUUCCGAGUGUAGAGGUGAAAUUCGUAGAUAUUCGGAAGAACACCAGUGGCGAAGGCGACUUACUGGACACAUAUUGACGCUGAGGUGCGAAAGCGUGGGGAGCGAACGGG